rnacentral:lncRNA from 1 species
UGGCGAAUGUCUCUUGAAUGUCUGUUGAAUGUGCGAAUAUAAAACCAACUUUACCUCGGUCUGUAUUGCUAGCAAAUGAGCUAGAAAGUUGUAAACAUUCGUGAACGCAAACCAACAUUCUAGCUAGCUAGGUAAAUGCUACAUAGGUUUAACAUAACCAAACUGAUAGCUAACGUUACUUACUCUUUGGAUGGUUUCUUGGUUGAUCUGAGCUUUUCCUCUAUGUCUUUUUGGUACAAAGGCAACAGACAUUUUGAGUUACAUUGAAUGAUAGACGUUACCGCCUGGGAUUUUCGGCCGUCACGAUAUAUGGAACGCCGUUUGGGUCUUAAAGCACGUGGUCAAAACGUAUGGAACGCCGUUUGGGUCUAAACAACAAUCGCAGCAGUACUGUAAUGGAUUGCUUCAUGAAUGCUGUCUCCAACGGACCAUGGAGGAGAAAACAACACUGUCUGCUUGUUGAAUACUACUUCUACAAACGAGGCUACACUUGUGGCAGCACCUAUUCCUGUGCCCCCACAUCUUCUGCACCACUUCUUGUGGCCCCCUCCACCUAUACCACUUCCUGUGGCCUCCCCUCCACCAUUCCCUGAGGCUUAUCGUCCACCUUCACCACACUCUUUUGUUGAUGUUGGUGAUGACAAUGAGACGCUGACGGAAAAGGGGCAGCUGAUGAGGGUGGUCCAUCGAGAAUCUCUCCGGCUGCUAAUGAGUGCCAUCCAUUCCUCUGGAGUCUUUGAGGGACCUGAUUGGCAAAAAUGCCUUUCUUGCAACUCUCAAGCACUCUAUGAUGGCGUAUACAAACAGGUGGGCCCCAUGACUGCUGUCUGUCUGGUACAUGGGGGUGUAGAGACACAUUUUUUCAGAGAGGCUAUACAGGCAAGUGUGUGGCCUACAACCUCCUGUGCCAGAACUGAAAGAAAUUGCGGAAUAUGACUUCAGAGAGAAGUUGGAGAAGGUAAGUAACUUUAUACUGUGAUGGAUGUUGUUACUGUUAAUUAGCACUAAGUUUGAAAAAAAAUUGGCUUGUAGUUCAUGAAUACUUUUCCACAUGGAUUUGGUUUCCUUUUGUUGGCAGUCAAUCUUUUUUAAGGGUAGUGAUAAUCAGUUUAUUGUUUUGCUAAUUUGUCCCAAAACACAGUUCAAUAAACAAUUUAAGAUCCAGUAUGCACAAACCAUUGAUGAGGCACUGGAAGCGGUCAUGUUGGGUCCAGUGUGAUUCAUUCGUACAUUGAAGAGGGAUGUCCUGGUGGAGUCAGCCACAAAGUUUUACGGGAUGCUCUUGAGUAACAUAGCUUCUCUCUUCAAAGCAGAGCGCUCCCCACCUGGUACCAAUCAAAGAGCGAUCGAGAGAAGAGUCAUGUUUCUGGAGGGACUGGCUUCUGGAGGUGGAAGGGGGGAACACAUACCCUUUAACCAUGGAGGUUUUCAUUUUCACUUCGGGGGCUUCAGCAUUCCUAGGCUGGGAUUGCCAGUGGAGCCACAGCUACAGUUCUCUCUGCUACCACACGGCAAGCAGGACCGGAGUGCCAAGUCUAGGUCCAAGAGGCUUCUAAACAGAUUCUAACCCCAAGCCAUAAGACUACUGAACAUCUAAUUAAAUGGCUACCCAGACUAUUUGUUGCUACUCUAUCUAUGCGUAGUCACUUUAAUAUCUCUACCUACAUGUAUUUAUUAACUUGACUAACCGGCGCCCCCGCACAUUCUCUGUACCGGUAUCCCCUGUAUAUAGCCUCGCUACUAUUUUACUGAAUGCUCUUUAAUUAUUGACUUAUCUUUUUUUUUUUGUACCGCAUUGUUGGUUAAGGGCUUGUAAGUAAGCAUUUCACUGUAAGGUCUACACCUUGUAUUUGGCGCAUGUGACAAAUACAAUUUUAUUUGAUUUAAAUAAUUAAUUUAAAAGGGAAUUAUACAAAACGUUUAUUGCAUGACUACCUAGUAAGUUCGGAAUACUGCAGCCAAUGUUAAUUGGUGAUGGGUCCCAAAAUAAUUGAUAUUAAAGUUUCCGACAGGAUUGUCCAUCAGCAAAAUAAAGUUGUGUAGUGAAAGUUUUCAAAAACAUUACAACCAACCAGAAUCAAUUGGACACAGUAAUACAUAAUGCAGCUUUAAUAUUUUAAUACAUGUAUGAUUUCUUAGUGGGUAAACUGAGCAUUAUGCAAAGUAGUUAAGUCAUGUAUGUCAAGGGACUAUGUUACCAUAAAUAAAUCUUCCAGUAAAUAUGGACAUUUCAUUUACAUGUGUAAUGGCAAAAGACACUGUAGUUGGUACAUAGGUCAUGGUGCAGCAAGUUUAAGGGUAGUGGAGAAGCACAAGUGGGACUUUGAUUGAAGUAACUGAGGGCAGAAAAGGAUAUCAGGGUGCCCAGGAACUUGAAGCUGCUGAUCAUCUCCAUGUCAAUGUACAGUACAUCUACUGUACAUUGACAUGGAGAUGACAUGGAGAUAUCCUUUUCUGCUUUUCUGGAGAAUGGUCAAGUAUCACCAGCUACUUUGUUUUGUUUACGCUGAGACUGUUGACGUAUCACCAUUAUGUCAGGUCCCACAGCUCCUUCAUGUACUUAUGUGUACCAUGGUAGUGUCGGGUCCAUUCUGGGGAUACACAUUCUCAUGAUAAUGUAAAAAAAUCUAAAUUUGUUAUUACAGAAUUUACACCCAGAACCCUGAGUCUGCUAACCAGUUUCUAGGUCAGGAUGGCGUUGAAAGCAGAGCUAUAAAAUAAAAUGCACUCUGACGUAUGUAAAAAUGUAUAAUUGACAUUUGUUGUGACAAUAGGCAAACUGGAGUUGUACAUUGUGCUACACAAUCUAUUGUUCUAGGUUUUUAAAAUCGAUAUCAACUGGGCUGCAGUGGAAAUGGUAAGAAACUUCGAUAUCAUGGGGCCCUAUCUUCUAACUUCCUUUCCUGGUACAGACACUGCCGUCAAAUGCCAACCAGAGGCUCUCCGUCCUACGGUGGCUGAAGACGUUUUGCCUGACGUCAAACAUUAACAAGAGUGUCAGAUUAAAGUGUCUGGAAAAAAUGUAAAGAGCACAUUACUUUUGUCAUCUUUACUGGCACAGUUUUAAAAUGUCUAAUUGUAGUCACUUUCAAUUGAUUUAUUGACUCCAAGAACCAUAGAUUGUUUGUAGUUCAUAACAUUAACACAACUGACAAACACUGCUUGACUGUAUUUGGGAUGCAUGUUUUAAUAACAUUGGCUAUUUGAUUGGGCUUAACGUUGCAUACCUUGUCAUGUUGUGCAUGCAUGCCAACCAGGUGAGAAUCACCUGAAUUAAAUGAUACUUGAUGAAUCAGGUCUUCAGCCUCCCCCUUGCCCACUCCAAACUCCCCUUCAAUGUUCC